GGGCCGGUAGAUCAGUCCGGUAGAUCGCCGCCUUGGCAUGGCGGAGGUCCGGGGUUCGAAUCCCCGCCGGUCCA
rnacentral:tRNA from 2 species